CCUACGGGAGGCAGCAGUGAGGAAUAUUGGUCAAUGGACGAGAGUCUGAACCAGCCAAGUAGCGUGAAGGAUGACUGCCCUAUGGGUUGUAAACUUCUUUUAUACAGGAAUAAAACGAGGCACGUGUGCCUUUUUGCAUGUACUUUAUGAAUAAGGAUCGGCUAACUCCGUGCCAGCAGCCGCGGUAAUACGGAGGAUCCGAGCGUUAUCCGGAUUUAUUGGGUUUAAAGGGCGCGUAGAUGGGUUGUUAAGUCAGUUGUGAAAGUUUGCGGCUCAACCGUAAAAUUGCAAUUGAUACUGGCAGACUUGAGUACAGUUGAGGUAGGCGGAAUUCGUGGUAGAGCGGUGAAAUGCUUAGAUAUCGCGAAGAACCCCGAUUGCGAAGGCAGCUUACUAAACAUUGACUGACAUUGAUGCUCGAAAGUGAGGGUAGCAAACAGGAUUAGAUACCCGAGUAGUC
rnacentral:rRNA from 1 species